rnacentral:ncRNA from 1 species
GCAGGUGUCGCAAGACUCAAUAGAGAAGCCGGUGCGGAGCAAUCCAAUGCCGGCGCGGUCCCGCCACUGUAGGGGGAGCGUUUCCGCAUUUACGUCACUGAAGAGGGCGAAGCCUCUUUGGGAAGGCGCGGAAGCGCGAGGAACCAAGCCAGGAGAACUGCCUGUUUUA